rnacentral:pre_miRNA from 1 species
UAGCAGCACGUACAUACUGGAGUGGCGCCGAUUGGGGUCUCCAGUGUUGGCGGAUCUGCUUCA